AUGUCAAAUAUACUUUUCUCAAGAAAACUAGUUGCCAAACUUACUACUAUCAUUAGAAUUUUUUGGUGGACAGGAAUAAAAGAAGAUCAAUCCAAGAGAGCUCUUUGUUUCAGGGCAUGGAAGGACAUUUGCACCCCAAAAGUAGAAGGGGGUCUUGGAGUCAAGAACAUCCAAGCAGUUAACAGAGGCCUAAUCAUGUCGGCGGCUUGGAGAAUUACGGACGAACCACAAAGCUUCUUGUCACAGGUACUUAAAUCUAAAUAUUUCCUGAGACUUCUAUUUGGAGAGCAAAAAGCAACAUUGCAAAAUCAGGUUUUUGGGCUUCAAUUCUUAAGGUAA
rnacentral:rRNA from 1 species